rnacentral:rRNA from 1 species
UUAAGCGACCAAGCGUACACGGUGGAUGCCCUGGCAGUCAGAGGCGAUGAAGGACGUGCUAAUCUGCGAAAAGCGCCGGUAAGGUGAUAUGAACCGUUAUAACCGGCGAUGUCCGAAUGGGGAAACCCAGUGUGAUUCGUCACACUAUCAUUAACUGAAUCCAUAGGUUAAUGAGGCGAACCGGGGGAACUGAAACAUCUAAGUACCCCGAGGAAAAGAAAUCAACCGAGAUUCCCCCAGUAGCGGCGAGCGAACGGGGAGGAGCCCAGAGUCUGAAUCAGCAUGUGUGUUAGUGGAAGCGUCUGGAAAGUCGCACGAUACAGGGUGAAAGUCCCGUACACAAAAGUGCAUAUGUUGUGAACUCGAAGAGUAGGGCGGGACACGUGGUAUCCUGUCUGAAUAUGGGGGGACCAUCCUCCAAGGCUAAAUACUCCUGACUGACCGAUAGUGAACCAGUACCGUGAGGGAAAGGCGAAAAGAACCCCGGCGAGGGGAGUGAAACAGAACCUGAAACCGUGUACGUACAAGCAGUGGGAGCCCCACCACUAAGCCAGUGGUGAACUCCACAUACGCAUCCUUUGCUGAGGAUACGGUUAACAGAGCGAAAGCGACGUUCAACCGCAAAAGAAGCAGAGGGGGCUUAGUGGUGGGGUGACUGCGUACCUUUUGUAUAAUGGGUCAGCGACUUAUAUUCUGUAGCAAGGUUAACCGAAUAGGGGAGCCGAAGGGAAACCGAGUCUUAACUGGGCGUUAAGUUGCAGGGUAUAGACCCGAAACCCGGUGAUCUAGCCAUGGGCAGGUUGAAGGUUGGGUAACACUAACUGGAGGACCGAACCGACUAAUGUUGAAAAAUUAGCGGAUGACCUGUGGCUGGGGGUGAAAGGCCAAUCAAACCGGGAGAUAGCUGGUUCUCCCCGAAAGCUAUUUAGGUAGCGCCUCGUGAAUUCAUCUUCGGGGGUAGAGCACUGUUUCGGCCAGGGGGUCAUCCCGACUUACCAACCCGAUGCAAACUGCGAAUACCGAAGAAUGUUAUCACGGGAGACACACGGCGGGUGCUAACGUCCGUCGUGAAGAGGGAAACAACCCAGACCGCCAGCUAAGGUCCCAAAGUCAUGGUUAAGUGGGAAACGAUGUGGGAAGGCCCAGACAGCCAGGAUGUUGGCUUAGAAGCAGCCAUCAUUUAAAGAAAGCGUAAUAGCUCACUGGUCGAGUCGGCCUGCGCGGAAGAUGUAACGGGGCUAAACCAUGCACCGAAGCUGCGGCAGCGACACUAUGUGUUGUUGGGUAGGGGAGCGUUCUGUAAGCCGUUGAAGGUGGCCUGUGAGGGUUGCUGGAGGUAUCAGAAGUGCGAAUGCUGACAUAAGUAACGAUAAUGCGGGUGAAAAACCCGCACGCCGGAAGACCAAGGGUUCCUGUCCAACGUUAAUCGGGGCAGGGUGAGUCGACCCCUAAGGCGAGGCCGAAAGGCGUAGUCGAUGGGAAACGGGUUAAUAUUCCCGUACUUGGUGUUACUGCGAAGGGGGGACGGAGAAGGCUAUGUUGGCCGGGCGACGGUUGUCCCGGUUUAAGCGUGUAGGUGUGUGUUCCAGGUAAAUCCGGUUCACUUUAACACUGAGGCGUGACGACGAGGCACUACGGUGCUGAAGCAACAAAUGCCCUGCUUCCAGGAAAAGCCUCUAAGCCUCAGGUAACAUCAAAUCGUACCCCAAACCGACACAGGUGGUCAGGUAGAGAAUACCAAGGCGCUUGAGAGAACUCGGGUGAAGGAACUAGGCAAAAUGGUGCCGUAACUUCGGGAGAAGGCACGCUGACACGUAGGUGAAGUGGUUUACCCAUGGAGCUGAAGUCAGUCGAAGAUACCAGCUGGCUGCAACUGUUUAUUAAAAACACAGCACUGUGCAAACACGAAAGUGGACGUAUACGGUGUGACGCCUGCCCGGUGCCGGAAGGUUAAUUGAUGGGGUCAGCGCAAGCGAAGCUCCUGAUCGAAGCCCCGGUAAACGGCGGCCGUAACUAUAACGGUCCUAAGGUAGCGAAAUUCCUUGUCGGGUAAGUUCCGACCUGCACGAAUGGCGUAAUGAUGGCCAGGCUGUCUCCACCCGGGACUCAGUGAAAUUGAACUCGCUGUGAAGAUGCAGUGUACCCGCGGCAAGACGGAAAGACCCCGUGAACCUUUACUAUAGCUUGACACUGAACACUGGUCCUUGAUGUGCAGGAUAGGUGGGAGGCUUUGAAGUGUGGACGCCAGUCUGCAUGGAGCCAUCCUUGAAAUACCACCCUUUAAUGGCUGGUGUUCUAACGUGGGCCCGUGAACCGGGUUGCGGACAGUGUCUGGUGGGUAGUUUGACUGGGGCGGUCUCCUCCUAAAGAGUAACGGAGGAGCACGAAGGUUGGCUAAUCCUGGUCGGACAUCAGGAGGUUAGUGCAAUGGCAUAAGCCAGCUUGACUGCGAGCGUGACGGCGCGAGCAGGUGCGAAAGCAGGUCAUAGUGAUCCGGUGGUUCUGAAUGGAAGGGCCAUCGCUCAACGGAUAAAAGGUACUCCGGGGAUAACAGGCUGAUACCGCCCAAGAGUUCAUAUCGACGGCGGUGUUUGGCACCUCGAUGUCGGCUCAUCACAUCCUGGGGCUGAAGUAGGUCCCAAGGGUAUGGCUGUUCGCCAUUUAAAGUGGUACGCGAGCUGGGUUUAGAACGUCGUGAGACAGUUCGGUCCCUAUCUGCCGUGGGCGCUGGAAGAUUGAGGGGGGCUGCUCCUAGUACGAGAGGACCGGAGUGGACGCAUCACUGGUGUUCGGGUUGUCAUGCCAAUGGCACUGCCCGGUAGCUACAUGCGGAAGAGAUAAGUGCUGAAAGCAUCUAAGCACGAAACUUGCCCCGAGAUGAAUCUUCCCUGAGCCUUUAAGGCUCCUGAAGGAACGUUGAAGACGACGACGUUGAUAGGCCGGGUGUGUAAGCGCAGCGAUGCGUUGAGCUAACCGGUACUAAUGAACCGUGAGGCUUAACCUU